rnacentral:misc_RNA from 1 species
GAUGAAGAACGCAGCGAAAUGCGAUAAGUAAUGUGAAUUGCAGAAUUCAGUGAAUCAUCGAAUCUUUGAACGCACCUUGCGCCUUUUGGCCGUUCCGAAGGGCAUGCCUGUUUGAGUAUCAUGAACACCUCAACUCUUCAUGGUUUUCCGUGAUGAGCUUGGACUUUGGGGGUCUUGCUGGCCUAUGGUCAGCUCCUCUAAAAUAAAUCAGCUUGCCAGUGUUUGGUGGGUAUCACAGGUGUGAUAACUAUCUACGCUUGUGGUUUUCCACCAGGUAACCUUCAGCAGUGGAGGUUCGCUCGAGCUCACAGAUGUGUCUCUCCUCAGUGAGGACAGCUCUUUGAAUGUUUGAUCUCAAAUCAGGUAGGACUACCCGCUGAACUUAAGCAUAUCAAUAAGCGGAGGA